rnacentral:misc_RNA from 1 species
AACGCACAUUGCGCCCAUUAGUAUUCUAGUGGGCAUGCCUGUUCGAGCGUCAUUUCAACCCUUAAGCCCUUGUUGCUUAGCGUUGGGAGCAUACAGCUUGCUGUAGUUCCUUAAAGUUAGUGGCGGAGUUAGUUCACACUCUAGACGUAGUAAAUUUUUAUCUCGCCUAUAGAUGAGCUGGCGUCUUGCCGUAAAACCCUUAAUCUUCGCAAGGUUGACCUCGGAUCAGGUAGGAAUACCCGCUGAACUUAA